GAUUGACGCUGAGGCACGAAAGUGUGGGGAUCAAACAGGAUUAGAUACCCUGGUAGUCCACACUGUAAACGAUGAUAACUCACUGCCGGCGAUACACAGUCGGUGGCCAAGCGAAAGCGAUAAGUUAUCCACCUGGGGAGUACGACCGCAAGGUUGAAACUCAAAGGAAUUGACGGGGGCCCGCACAAGCGGAGGAACAUGUGGUUUAAUUCGAUGAUACGCGAGGAACCUUACCCGGGCUCGAACGGCAGACGACGUAUACAGAGACGUAUAUUCUCUUCGGAGCGUCUGUCGAGGUGCUGCAUGGUUGUCGUCAGCUCGUGCCGUGAGGUGUCGGCUUAAGUGCCAUAACGAGCGCAACCCUUGUCGAUAGUUGCCAUCGGGUCGUGCCGGGGACUCUAUCGAGACUGCCUCCGUAAGGUGUGAGGAAGGGGGGGAUGACGUCAAAUCAGCACGGCCCUUACGUCCGGGGCGACACACGUGUUACAAUGGUGGUUACAGAGGGCUGCUCCCUGGUGACAGGUUGCCAAUCUCCAAAAGCCAUCUCAGUUCGGAUCGGAGUCUGCAACUCGACUCCGUGAAGUUGGAUUCGCUAGUAAUCGCACAUCAGCCACGGUGCGGUGAAUACGUUCCCGGGCCUUGUACACACCGCCCGUCAAGCCAUGGAAGUUGGGGGUGCCUGAAGUCCGUCACCGCGAGGAACGGCCUAGGGCAAAACUGAUAACUGGGGCUAAGUCGUAACAAGGUAGCCGUACCGGAAGGUGUGGCUG
rnacentral:rRNA from 1 species